GUGUUGUAUGAAAGGAGAGAAAGUUAGCACUCCCCUUAACAAGGAUGGACGAGGCCCUUGGGCCUAACAACAUGCAUACGGUUAAGGCAUUGACACCUACUUCUCGUGGCAUCUAACCACUGUUUUUA
ensembl:snRNA U6atac minor spliceosomal RNA